rnacentral:rRNA from 1 species
GAUGAACGCUGGCGGCGUGCCUAAUACAUGCAAGUCGAGCGAACGGACGAGAAGCUUGCUCCUCUGAUGUUAGCGGCGGACGGGUGAGUAACACGUGGAUAACCUACCUAUAAGACUGGGAUAACUUCGGGAAACCGGAGCUAAUACCGGAUAAUAUUUUGUACCGCAUGGUUCAAAAGUAAAAGACGGUCUUGCUGUCACUUAUAGAUGGAUCCGCGCUGCAUUAGCUAGUUGGUAAGGUAACGGCUUACCAAGGCAACGAUGCAUAGCCGACCUGAGAGGGUGAUCGGCCACACUGGAACUGAGACACGGUCCAGACUCCUACGGGAGGCAGCAGUAGGGAAUCUUGCGCAAUGGGCGAAAGCCUGACGGAGCAACGCCGCGUGAGUGAUGAAGGUCUUCGGAUCGUAAAACCCUGUUAUUAGGGAAGAACAGAUGUGUAAGUAACUGUGCACAUCUUGACGGUACCUAAUCAGAAAGCCACGGCUAACUACGUG